GGUGGUAUACAGUUCAGUGAUAGAGCACAUGCCUAACAUGCACAAGGUCCUGGGUUCAAUUCCCAGUACCUCCA
rfam:Camelus ferus unplaced genomic scaffold scaffold346, whole genome shotgun sequence.